UUUCCUACGGGAGGCAGCAGUGGGGGAUAUUGCACAAUGGGGGAAACCCUGAUGCAGCGACGCCGCGUGAGUGAAGAAGUAUUUCGGUACGUAAAGCUCUAUCAGCAGGGAAGAAUAAUGACGGUACCUGACUAAGAAGCCCCGGCUAACUACGUGCCAGCAGCCGCGGUAAUACGGAGGAUGCGAGCGUUAUCCGGAUUUAUUGGGUUUAAAGGGUGCGCAGGCGGAGGUGCAAGUCAGCGGUCAAAUUGCGGGGCUCAACCCCGUACUGCCGUUGAAACUGCAUCCCUUGAGUGCGCGAGAAG
rnacentral:rRNA from 1 species